rnacentral:lncRNA from 1 species
GUCACUCACAGCAGGAACCUCAUUUAGAGCCCAUUGAUGUCAAUGGAAACACUUCCCUUUGCCUCAGUGGGCUUUGGACCAGGAAUACGCAAGAUGUUUCUCCAUGGUGUGCUUGCUAAAAGAAGUGAGAUAUCAGGAAAAAAAAUGGAUUUUUUUUUGUGAAGAAAAAAAAAAGACAACUGGCCAAUAGCAACCUAGAAAGCAUCCAGCCUGGAUCUCAGAUGCAAAGGAGAAAAGUUCUUGUGUUGGUGUUGCCUGGAGUGCUGGCCUUGCUGGACUCAACCCCCUUGCCAUCCUGUGGAUUAAAGCUGAGACCCAAGACACCAGCGAGCUUUGCCUGGAACAGCACAUAAUCUACUGGCAUUUUGGAUCUGCAGGAGAAAACCAGAAUGUUUCUACCAUCAAAGGUCUCUUGGAGUUGUUGAAAGAAGGCUGGAACAGUCCUGGUUUUUGGACUUUCUUUUCUUAA